rnacentral:rRNA from 1 species
AAGUCGAGGGGCAGCGGGAUUGAAGCUUGCUUCAAUUGCCGGCGACCGGCGCACGGGUGAGUAACGCGUAUCCAACCUUCCGUACACUCAGGGAUAGCCUUUCGAAAGAAAGAUUAAUACCUGAUGGUAUCUUAAGCACACAUGUAAUUAAGAUUAAAGAUUUAUCGGUGUACGAUGGGGAUGCGUUCCAUUAGGUAGUAGGCGGGGUAACGGCCCACCUAGCCGACGAUGGAUAGGGGUUCUGAGAGGAAGGUCCCCACAUUGGAACUGAGACACGGUCCAAACUCC